GAUGAACGCUGGCGGCGUGCCUAAUGCAUGCAAGUCGAGCGAACGGACGAGAAGCUUGCUUCUCUGAUGUUAGCGGCGGACGGGUGAGUAACACGUGGAUAACCUACCUAUAAGACUGGGAUAACUUCGGGAAACCGGAGCUAAUACCGGAUAAUAUUUUGAACCGCAUGGUUCAAAAGUGAAAGACGGUCUUGCUGUCGCUUAUAGAUGGAUCCGCGCUGCAUUAGCUAGUUGGUAAGGUAACGGCUUACCAAGGCAACGAUGCAUAGCCGACCUGAGAGGGUGAUCGGCCACACUGGAACUGAGACACGGUCCAGACUCCUACGGGAGGCAGCAGUAGGGAAUCUUCCGCAAUGGGCGAAAGCCUGACGGAGCAACGCCGCGUGAGUGAUGAAGGUCCUCGGAUCGUAAAACUCUGUUAUUAGGGAAGAACAUAUGUGUAAGUAACUGUGCACAUCUUGACGGUACCUAAUCAGAAAGCCACGGCUAACUACGUG
rnacentral:rRNA from 1 species